GACGAACCGUGCGAACGUUGUUCGGAAUCACUGGGCUUAAAGGGCGCGUAGGCGGAUGACCAAGUCAGGGGUGAAAGCCCGCAGCUUAACUGCGGAAGUGCCUUUGAUACUGGUUGUCUCGAGGGAGAUAGGGGCAUGUGGAACUUCCGGUGGAGCGGUGAAAUGCGUAGAUAUCGGAAGGAACGCCGGUGGCGAAAGCGACGUGCUGGAUCUCUUCUGACGCUGAGGCGCGAAAGCUAGGGGGAGCAAACGGG
rnacentral:rRNA from 1 species